CGCGAAGAACCUUACCUACUCUUGACAUCCAGAGAAUCCUACGGAGACGUGGGAGUGCCUUCGGGAACUCUGAGACAGGUGCUGCAUGGCUGUCGUCAGCUCGUGUUGUGAAAUGUUGGGUUAAGUCCCGCAACGAGCGCAACCCUUAUCCUUGUUUGCCAGCACUUCGGGUGGGAACUCCAGGGAGACUGCCGGUGAUAAACSGGAGGAAGGUGGGGACGACGUCAAGUCAUCAUGGCCCUUACGAGUAGGGCUACACACGUGCUACAAUGGCGCAUACAGAGGGCGGCCAACUUGCGAAAGUGAGCGAAUCCCAAAAAGUGCGUCUAGUCCGGAUUGGAGUCUGCAACUCGACUCCAUGAA
rnacentral:rRNA from 1 species